UGUGCUUUUCCGACCUGGAGAAGCUUUGAGAACAAGUUGAGGAGCGGCUGUCCUUCUAUGAGACUGGAGAGAUUCCCCGAAAGAAUCUGGAUGUCAUGAAGGAGGCAAUGGUUCAGGCAGAGGAAGUGGCUGCUGAGAUUACUAGGAAGCUCGAGAAACAGGAGAAGAAACGCUUGAAGAAGGAAAAGAAAAGGGUGGCUGCAAUUGCCCAGGCUUCUUCAGAAAAUAGCAGUGCCCCGGAGGAGUGUGAGGAGACAAGUGAAAGACCCAAAAAGAUGAAAAAGCAAAAGCCCCAGGAGGCUCUUCAGGAGAAUGGAAUGGAAGACCCAACUGUCUCUUUUUCCAAACCCCCAAAAAAGAAAUCUUUUUCCAAGGAAGAGCUAGUUAGUAGUGAUCUUGAAGAGACAGCUGGUACUGGAAGUCUUCCCAAGAGGAAGAAAUUUUUUCCCAAAGAGGAAACAGUUACUGACCCGGAUGAGUCAGAAAACAAGAGGGUCCCCAAGAAAAAGUGGAAAUUGUCCAAGGAGGAGCCACUCAGCAGUGGACCUGAAGAGGCUGCUGCCAGCAAGAGCAGCAGCUCCAAGAAAAAGAAAAAGCUCCGAAAGCUAUCCCAGGAAAGUUAGAAUGGACAACUUCCUAAUGGGACAUAACUUACAGAGGUAUUCCCCAUCCCAUCCCCUAGAGCCCAAUUAAAAAAAAAAAAAAGCUUAAAAAAGAAGUCUACUAAACUAGGACUGUUUGCUUUUGAGUAUGUCGGAGGCAGGACUACCUUACUCACAAGAUCUCUGAACGUCAAAUGAGACGAGGCACAGCAAGUCCGCAUGCGGUGCCUGGUACAGGAUCGGAGCUCAGAAAACAUCAGUUAUGAUGACUGAACGUAUUUGGUAGCUGUGACGAUCUGACCUUAGCACACUUGAGAAUAAUAAAAAAUGCUCGUCCUGAGUCACUGGAUGCUUCCUCUCAUUUCAGUCAUUUGAAAGCUGGCUGUCUGUGGUGGCGGCUGAUAAGUUACAAAUUGAUGUCAGAGGGCUAAUUUCACUGCCCUCUCGCCUUGUUAGAGGAGGGGACACCAGCCAGAACACUGCUUUUCUUGGUGCUAAGGCACUCCUCAGAUCCAUCUAAUACUGUCUUUAAGUUGUAAUGUUUUCCUUGAGGACUGAUAAGAUCCACAGUGAGAUUGGGUGACAAACAUAUUAUCAUAUCCAAGGUAAAAACCCUUUGAUGUUUACCGUGGGGCACUUUUUUUUUUUAAGUUAUUUUAUUCAAGUAUAUCUGAUUUACAAUGUUGUGUUGGUUUCUGGCGUACAGCAAAGAGAUUCAGUUACAUAUAUAAUAUGUAUAUGUGUAUAUAUUCUCUUCCAUUAUGGUUUAUCGCAGGGUAUCGAAUGCAGUUCCCUGUGCUAUAUAACAGGACCUUGUUGUUUAUCCAUCAUAUACAUGAUAGUUUGCAUUUGCUAAUCCAAAACUCUUACACCAUCCUUUCCCCAUUCUCCUCCUCCUUGGCAACCACAAGUCUGUUCUCUAUGUGAGUCUGUUUCUGUUCCAUGGAUAAGUUUAUUUGUGUCAUAUUUUAGAUUCCACAUAUAAGUGAUAUCACAUGAUACUUGUCUUUCUUGGUCUGACUCACUUCGUUUAGUAUGAGCAUCUCUAGGUCCAUCCAUGUAGCUGCAAAGCCGUUGGAUGCAUUCUUUGCUCCAGUUGAUGGGUGAGUAGUUCUGCUUUUGAGAAAAGGGUUCUUUCUGAUUCACCCCGAGAGGUGUUACAGUCCCAUAGACCCCAGAUUCAUGGUCGCAGAGCUCUGUGGUCGCAGCUGCCCUAGUCGUCAUCCUCUCCAGAUUCCAUGCCAUGAUGAUUUGAUGUCUCUACCCAUCCAUUUAAUCAGAGAAAAUCAAAGCUGUGGGUUCAUUAAAGGGCUGCCCUUAGGCUGUGUCUAUAGAAGGCCAGUUAUGCAGCUGGACAUGGGGGGAAGUCAAUGAUCUUGUUCUCGCAAGCUCUUGAACACAGUCUGAUAUUUGCAUUAAUAUUGUGACACAUGCUGUCCCGGACAGUGUCUCAGACCUUGGAUGAAUGAGUUCAUCCUCCUGGUAUGUUCACUUUUCAGUCUUCGCCCUGGCAGUUGACAGCCAAGGAGCACAGCUUUUCAGUUCUGACAGCUGAUGGCGGUGAAUGGAAGGAGGGAUUUUUUUUCUGAGAUGAUGUCAACUCAUUCAUAGCCCGGGGUGUCAUCUUCUUCAAUUCCUAAAAUAACUUAGAUUAUGGCUGAGGACGCCUGGCCACCAGACUGUGUGUGAGGGGAUCUUUCCCUCUGGUCAUGGUGUCCCCCCGAGUUCUUCCUUCUGCUAAGGUCUGGGAAGCAACAAUGGAAUACUUGCAAGGAGCAAUGGAGGUAGUUUGGGGAAAGAUCUACUUAGUGAGAAGUGGGCAGGGCGAGAGGACCAAGAGGACAGGGUGUGCAGUCUGUGGAGUUGCUAUAAUGAGGGGCCAUCACCACCCUGAGCUGGAGGAGGAGAGGAAGGCAGGGCCCCCAGUGCUGUGAGCCAUGGAGAGGCAGCUUGACAGGAGCUCGGGGCCAGGAGAGAAACAGGCAGUAAGUGCCCUGGACUCUCUCCUCCCCUCCGUAAGCUCCCGCCAGUGGUCAAAUCCCCCUGGGAGCCAGCAGUGGCCCCCAGAAGCCAAGUGUGGCCUUCUGGAGCUCAGAGCAGGGGCUGGGGCCUGGGAACGGUGGGUCAGGAGGAAGAGAGGGAGAAUUUCCAGCACCUUCAGUUUUCCUUUAUUAAAUGCAAAAAGCACAGAACAAAGCUUGUUUCCUUUGUUUUACAGAAAUGGAUUCUGUGGAAAGCCAGGAAAAAUAAAUCCAGCCAAUAAUUACGUUUCUGUUUAGAGAUUCAUUAAAACUGGACUUUGUACCGAGAGAGAGGUGGCCUGAAUGUUUCAUGAAGGUUUACUGUUCCCUCCAUUUAUUUUGAUUAACGUUUCUUUAUUUCUUCAAUUUUAUUUUUAAAACAUCCUAUUACUAUUUCAUGAUACCCAAGUAUCAGAUCCUUUUGUUCUGUUGUGAUUCACACAAUGGGAAGAGAGUUUCUGAGGCCCUGCCUAUUCAUGAUGGCUGGAAUGGUGGAUCUUGGAGAUGGUUGUAACCUUCUCCAGCUUUUGAGGGGUUCCUGCUUGCCUCCCUGAGUCCUCCAACUCCGUGGCCAGGCUGGGGAGGGGUGCAGAGGCAGGCGGCUACAGUGGCAUUGUCCCCAGGGUCAGGGUAUAUGGGUCACCAAGAGAAAAACCCAUUUUUGUGUCCCUGUGGGAGAGUUCCCCGCGCCGCCCCCCCCAGGUAGGGAAGCCAGUGGGUGGAACACACAAGACAGAGAGGAUGUCACAAGAUUUGUUACCUGCACAGAACAUACGGUUCUGCCUCCAUGACUGAUCAUCCCACUUAUAUGUAUGUGUGUUUAAAUUGAAGUAUAGUUGAUUUUCAGUGUUGUGUUUUUUCAGGUAUAUAGCAGAGGGGGCAGCUACAUGCUGUGGAUCCUAUCCUGGAGGAAAAAUUCUCUAAGGGACGUUAUUAAGUCAGUUGACAAAGUUUGAAUUUGAACAGUAGAUUGGAUACAAGAGUUAUAUCAAUGAUAAAAUUAUUGAAAUUGUGUGCCUGGAUCAUGUAAAAGAAUGUUUUUAUUACUGAAAAAUAAGCAUUGAAGUAUUUAAGGGU